rnacentral:rRNA from 1 species
GACGAACGCUGGCGGCGUGCCUAAUACAUGCAAGUAGAACGCUGAAGAGAGGAGCUUGCUCUUCUUGGAUGAGUUGCGAACGGGUGAGUAACGCGUAGGUAACCUGCCUUGUAGCGGGGGAUAACUAUUGGAAACGAUAGCUAAUACCGCAUAACAAUGGAUGACCCAUGUCAUUUAUUUGAAAGGGGCAAAUGCUCCACUACAAGAUGGACCUGCGUUGUAUUAGCUAGUAGGUGAGGUAACGGCUCACCUAGGCGACGAUACAUAGCCGACCUGAGAGGGUGAUCGGCCACACUGGGACUGAGACACGGCCCAGACUCCUGCGGGAGGCAGCAGUAGGGAAUCUUCGGCAAUGGGGGCAACCCUGACCGAGCAACGCCGCGUGAGUGAAGAAGGUUUUCGGAUCGUAAAGCUCUGUUGUAAGUCAAGAACGAGUGUGAGAGUGGAAAGUUCACACUGUGACGGUAGCUUACCAGAAAGGGACGGCUAACUACGUG